CCAGGGCCCUCGGGGCAGUCACCUACCGAUGGCCAGCCGCUCCAGGCGCUUGCCGUGCUCUGGCGGGAUGGCGUACCUGCGAGAGAAGGGAGGCACGUCAGAGGCAAGGUGGCGAGCAGGUCCUGGGGGACCGAGUUUGGAGGAGGAAGCAUCUGGGGCCCCUGGAGCUGCCAGCCCACGUCAUGGUCUCCAGGCCCACGUCCCCCGUUUCCUGGCACCGGGAGCCAACAGGGAAAAGCAGCUUUGGGAAGGAGAAAAGUUGCAUUUGUCACCGACUUGAUUUGCAGCCAUCUCCCUUCUGGGGAGCCGAACCCCGCCGGCACCAGCCUUGCUGAAGGGAGAGAAAUUUGCAUGGAAACUAGGCCCUGCACUCAGAACCCAAACCUCUGAUGCCUACGGAGACCGGGUGGGCGGGCGACUCCGGGUCAGGGCCAGCCUUACUGGCUGCGGUAGGAGGGACCCGUGGGCGCACACAGACCCCCACAGCCUGAAUAAACUCCUCAUCCAAACAGUGCCUGGCGGGAUUAUCUGAAGAUGGGAAUUCACGCCCAGUGAUGACAUUUCAAACAGAACUAACAGUUUUUUAAAGU